AACGAGCUUUUAAAUUAUUUAUUAAGCUUUGAAUUUCAAAAAAUUAAUUUUUAUAAAAAUCAAACCUUGUCUAUAUCAAUCGAUAUUUCGAAUUCCGAAAAUAAAAAAUUCAUCUUGAAGGUCGCCUAGAAAUCGAGAAUAAUCUAACUGUUAAUUUGAGUCCAAAGACGUUUCUUAAUUUUAAUUAAUUUGAAAAUGACAUCAAAAUUAUUCAUAAUUAUUUUACUAAUUGCACUGGCUAUUAAUUUGAAUGCCAAGAAUUGUUCAAACUCACGUGAACCAUGUGGUCCACUGGCUGGCAGUGUGUGCUGUGAAGCCUUCAGAUGUUGGCGAGGUCAUUGUCUGAUAAGUCGUUACUUGGCAUAAUAAUUCUAAAUUUUUGACAAAAAUUAUAGAUGGAAUUUUUUAAUUAAAAGAGAAGUAGACUUCAUGAGUCACUUAAGAGUUAAUGUCUUCAAAAUUCGAUAUCUUGAAAUUUAUCACUAGAAACUCAA